GAGCUGCGGGGGGGGGGCCCCGACGCCGCCGAGAUGCUGCCCCCCAACUUCCGGGGGGGCCCCCUGGGGACCCCCGCCCUGCCGCUGCGCAAGCUCCAGCCCGAGGGUAACUCGCUGCCCCCCCAAAGGGGGGAUGGGGUGUCGGUGCGGACCUACUCCUGCUAGCGGUGCCCUGAAGUGAUGGAUGAAGCCGGG